rnacentral:rRNA from 1 species
UUGCACGCUGGCGGCAUGCCUUACACAUGCAAGUCGCACGGUAACAGGUCUUCGGAUGCUGACGAGUGGCGAACGGGUGAGUAAUACAUCGGAACGUGCCCGAUCGUGGGGGAUAACGAGGCGAAAGCUUUGCUAAUACCGCAUACGAUCUACGGAUGAAAGCGGGGGAUCUUCGGACCUCGCGCGGACGGAGCGGCCGAUGGCAGAUUAGGUAGUUGGUGGGAUAAAAGCUUACCAAGCCGACGAUCUGUAGCUGGUCUGAGAGGAUGAUCAGCCACACUGGGACUGAGACACGGCCCAGACUCCUACGGGAGGCAGCAGUGGGGAAUUUUGGACAAUGGGCGAAAGCCUGAUCCAGCCAUGCCGCGUGCAGGAUGAAGGCCUUUGGGUUGUAAACUGCUUUUGUACGGAACGAAAAGCCUCUUUCUAAUAAAGAGGGGUCAUGACGGUACCGUAAGAAUAAGCACCGGCUAACUACGUG